rnacentral:rRNA from 1 species
UACGGAGGGUGCAAACGUUGCUCGGAAUCAUUGGGCGUAAAGCGCACGUAGGCGGACCGCUAAGUCGGAUGUGAAAUCCCUCGGCUUAACCGAGGAAGUGCACUUGAAACUGACGGUCUUGAGUAUGGAAGAGGGUCGCGGAAUUCCCGGUGUAGAGGUGAAAUUCGUAGAUAUCGGGAGGAACACCAGUGGCGAAGGCGGCGACCUGGGCCAAUACUGACGCUGAGGUGCGAAAGCGUGGGGAGCAAACAGG